rnacentral:sRNA from 1 species
GUAAUGAUCCUUCCGUAGGUGAACCUGCGGAAGGAUCAUUACCGUAGUGAGGUGCCGUCUCGGGUCCAGCGUCGCGCACCCGUGUCUAUUGUACCUUGUUGCUUCGGCGGGCCCGCUGUUUCGACGGCCGCCGGGGAGGCCUCGCGCCCCCGGGCCCGCGCCCGCCGAAGACCCCAACAUGAACGCUGUUCUGAAAGUAUGCAGUCUGAGUUGAUUAUCAUAAUCAGUUAAAACUUUCAACAACGGAUCUCUUGGUUCCGGCAUCGAUGAAGAACGCAGCGAAAUGCGAUAAGUAAUGUGAAUUGCAGAAUUCAGUGAAUCAUCGAGUCUUUGAACGCACAUUGCGCCCCCUGGUAUUCCGGGGGGCAUGCCUGUCCGAGCGUCAUUGCUGCCCUCAAGCACGGCUUGUGUGUUGGGCCGCCGUCCCCGGUUCUCCCCCGGGGACGGGCCCGAAAGGCAGCGGCGGCACCGCGUCCGGUCCUCGAGCGUAUGGGGCUUCGUCACCCGCUCUGUAGGCCCGGCCGGCGCCAGCCGACACCCAACUUUAUUUCUAAGGUUGACCUCGGAUCGAGUUACCUUGGCCGAGUACCCUGCUGAACUUAAGCAUAUCAAUAAGCGGAGGAAGAUCCGCAGUUUCCCCUACGGAAUUCAUUUUCCCUAAAUUUAUUUUCAUUAUUGUAGGGGUAGGUUUGUUGUGUGUGUUGAGUUUGUGGUGUGUUGUGUUUCGGGUUGAUGA